GACGAACGCUGGCGGCGUGCUUAACACAUGCAAGUCGAACGAUGAAGAAGAGCUUGCUCUUCGGAUUAGUGGCGAACGGGUGAGUAACACGUGACUAACCUGCCCCUUUCUCUGGGAUAACGCUCCGAAAGGAGUGCUAAUACCGGAUACUCACAUCGAGGCACAUGCCUUGAUGUGGAAAGUUUUUCGGAAAGGGAUGGAGUCGCGGCCUAUCAGCUUGUUGGUGAGGUAACGGCUCACCAAGGCGACGACGGGUAGCCGGCCUGAGAGGGCAACCGGCCACACUGGGACUGAGACACGGCCCAGACUCCUACGGGAGGCAGCAGUGGGGAAUAUUGCACAAUGGGCGAAAGCCUGAUGCAGCGACGCCGCGUGAGGGAUGAAGGUCUUCGGAUUGUAAACCUCCUUCAGUAGGGACGAAGCGAAAGUGACGGUACCUAAAGAAGAAGCACCGGCUAACUACGUGCCAGCCGCCGCUGUAA
rnacentral:rRNA from 1 species